rnacentral:rRNA from 1 species
GAUGAACGCUGGCGGCGUGCUUAACACAUGCAAGUCGAACGAUGAAGCCCAGCUUGCUGGGUGGAUUAGUGGCGAACGGGUGAGUAACACGUGAGUAACCUGCCCUUAACUCUGGGAUAAGCCUGGGAAACUGGGUCUAAUACCGGAUAGGAGCGUCCACCGCAUGGUGGGUGUUGGAAAGAUUUAUCGGUUUUGGAUGGACUCGCGGCCUAUCAGCUUGUUGGUGAGGUAAUGGCUCACCAAGGCGACGACGGGUAGCCGGCCUGUGAGGGGGACCGGCCACACGGGGACUGAGAGACGGCCCAGACUCCUACGGGAGGCAGCAGUGGGGAAUAUUGCGCAAUGGGGGCAAGCCUGAUGCAGCGACGCCGCGUGAGGGAUGACGGCCUUCGGGUUGUAAACCUCUUUCAGUAGGGAAGAAGCGAAAGUGACGGUACCUGCAGAAGAAGCACCGGCUAACUACGUG